rnacentral:rRNA from 1 species
CAUGCAGGCGGUUUUUUAAGUCGGACGUGAAAGCUCCUGGCUCAACUGGGAGAGGCCGUUCGAGACUGGAAGACUUGAGAGUGGUAGAGGAGAGUGGAAUUCCCGGUGUAGUGGUGAAAUGCGUAGAUAUCGGGAGGAACACCAGUGGCGAAAGCGGCUCUCUGGACCAACUCUGACGCUCAGAUGCGAAAGCUAGGGGAGAGAACAGGAUUAGAUACCCUGGUAGUCC